UAGGGAAUCUUCCACAAUGGGCGAAAGCCUGAUGGAGCAACGCCGCGUGUGUGAUGAAGGGUUUCGGCUCGUAAAACACUGUUGUAAGAGAAGAAUGACAUUGAGAGUAACUGUUCAAUGUGUGACGGUAUCUUACCAGAAAGGAACGGCUAAAUACGUGCCGA
rnacentral:rRNA from 1 species